rnacentral:rRNA from 1 species
AUUGAACGCUGGCGGCAGGCCUAACACAUGCAAGUCGAACGAGUGGCGGACGGGUGAGUAAUGUCUGGGAAACUGCCUGCUGGAGGGGGGUAACUACUGGACACGGUAGCUAAUACCGCAUACCAUCUGAUGUGCCCAGAUGGGAUUAGCUAGUUGGUGGGGUAAAGUCUCACCUAGGCGACGAUCCCUAGCUGGUCUGAGAGGAUGACAAGCAACACUGGAACUGAGACACGGUCCAGACUCCUACGUGAGGCAGCAGUGGGGAAUAUUGCACAAUGGGAGCAAGCCUGAUGCAGCCAUGCCGCGUGUAUGAAGAAGGCCUUCGUGUUGUAAAGGACUUUCAGCGGGGAGGCGGUAUCCGCAGAAGAAGCACCGGCUAACUCCGUGCCAGCAGCCGCGGUAAUUC